rnacentral:lncRNA from 1 species
CUGGGACCUUCCUGUCCAGCCCCCUGCGUCCUGGACUCAGAGUCACUCUUGUGCAUCCCUGCAGCAUCCCCAGGCCAGGGCCCAGGGGAAUCACCCCAGCUGGCUGGGCAGUGACACAGAGAGCGGCAGCCAUAGGCGGCUUCAGGGGAGGGAGAGAAGCAGCAGCAGAGGCAGGAAAUCGCUGCCUGGAGGCUGGAAAGAAGCAGCCAGGAUAGAAGCGCAGAGGUGGGGGAGUUGGCGGGGCCGACGGCAGCUCCAAGCCAGAGCUCUUAGCCUGGAAACCCCAGAAGUCUCGAGGGUUGCACCACGGUGGGGCCUGAGCGCUCAGCCGUGCUUGCUCCCCCGUUAUCUCUUUCUCCCAGGCUCUGCUGGAGUUCGGUUGCAGUUCGGACAAGCUGGGCAGGAAGCGGUCUCAGAUAAGAUGGAUUCCCCGAGCCGCCAGCUGGUGCGACUGAAGUGUGUAUCCCAGGAGGAACUUCCAGGAUCCUGGAGCGAGCCGCCCCAAGAGCUACGGGAAAGGGAUCAGCUUCCGCCCCAGAUACCCGAGGACAGUGAUGACGAGCAGGAGUCCGCGUCGUCGACCCCCAUGGUCGGCUGCCAGGUGAGCUGCGUGGUCACCCCAUCCUCGCUGUAGAAGGAUGGAGCCCAGCGUCUCUCCUACGGGAGGGAGCUGGGACGUUAACUGGUUCCUCUCUGAGGCUUGGCGGGAUCAUUCAAAAGCUGGCUAGGCACCGAUCCUGCUCUGUCUGCAACUUUAUUUUGAGCAGCAGUAGGGUGCUGGAUCCGGAGGCACUGAAAUCUGUUGCACAAGCCCAUUGGCUACAGCAAGGGAGGGAUUCAGUCCUGUUUUGGGAACAGGGAGAAUUCUUUCCCUUGUGAAUAUCAUCCCGUCACCCUCACUCUUUAAACUCCUUCCCCCCAGUCCUUGCUCCCAUCCCUCUAUCCCCUUUCUCUGCCCCACUCCCACUCUUCCUCCCUCCCUCCCUCCCUCCCACCAUUUGCAACUGCCACAGACCCGUCAGGCCUGCGGCCCUCCCUGACACUCCUUCCUCAUCCCUGCUUCCCCCUGCUGUCGGAUGGGACUGUGGGCUCUCUUGUGGUUCCAGGUGCUGGUGGGGUUCGAGGAGGUGGCCGUGUAUUUCUCCCGGGAGGAGUGGGAGCUCCUGGAUGAAGGGCAGAGGCAGCUCUACAGGGACGUCAUGGAGGAGAAUUACCAGACGCUCAUCUCGCUGGGUGAGGCACCGCUGCCCCUCGGAGAUCAGGAGCCGGGGGGGUUCAGAUGUGCCCAAGGUGGUUUGGGCCCAUCAGAUAAGUUAUCUAUGUGGGGUUAGAUCUAGGUUUUAUUUUUGUCGUCUGCCUGCAUCCAGCUCCCCUGUGUGUGGGAAUCCCUGACUCCCCUACGGGGGUGCAGCCCAUCUGCCCUCAGGCGUCUCAUUGUCCCAAAGGGUCCCUGUGAACAUAUCCCCCCUGCUUGGAUCCUGCACUCCACCCAACAGAGAGCAGGGCCGGGGUUAAAACCAGGGCACAC